UCUGCUACUUUUUUGCACAUCUAUGGAGGUUUCAGUCUCUCGUAAGUAAGAAAAAUGUGUUUUACUGAACUACAUGAAAGGCAAAUAUAUUUGUCUUACAUCAUUUCUUCUGAAAACUGAGGAAGCUAUCACUGUACUUGAAUCAGAGUGGAAUGAUGUCUAGUUUCAUUCGGAAACUGAUGUUUUAGAAAUGGACACUAGAAAGUUUCCUAUUUAUCAUGCUUUAGUUAAGAUAGAUCCUGCUUCUUCUUUUUUUCUGGAAACAACAGUUCUGCAGAUUCAACCUUCUCAAAGUUGAAUCGCAUUGCCUAAGAUUCAUCAUCAUUAAGGUUUGUGCAAUCUGUGAGCUCUCAUGUUUUUCUUCUGUCUGCAUGCGUAGAUACAUACCCUACAUGCAGCAGAUCUCAGAUAACAAUAUCCUAGGUUUUAUAUUUUUAGCACUGCAGUAGAACCAUUCAAGAUUUAUAUGACUAUUUUCUGCAAAACAUUGUGCCUACUGAACAUGAAGAAACAGACUUCUCCCUCUCACAAUAUUUGUUAAGCAAUCCUUUUCCACUGUGUUACAGGCAUCUCCUUUUGAGGAUUAUUUUAAUGUGAUUUCCAGUAAGAUAUUAUUGUAUGGUAUCCAUGUGUGAUUGGAUCUGUGCGCAUGAUCUGUGCAGAUAAAAAUAUGUGUAGAUUCAGUAUCUGAGAUGCCACUUACAGAGUAGUCACACAGCUAAAACAAGAAUUAUUAUCUGAAGACAGUUACACAAUUUCUGAAUUAAAGGAGGAAGGAGAGAGCUUCAGAAUAAAAAAGAAGACAAGAUGAAAGCAAGCCUUAAUAAUCUGUGCAUUCUGCUAGACAUGACCCAGGUUUUGUAUAAUUUUCAGCAUGCUUUCCUUAUGUUCUGUGGAUUAGACCCAAGGACCGGUGGCAUUUAGAUGACCUGAUGACACAGCUGACUCUUGUUUUUACCUUCUAAAAUGCAUACAAUACAAAUUAACUGAUGUAGCUCACUACUGUAACCAAGAAUUGAUAAGCAUUUACUGUGAAGAAACUGACUUCUGCCCAGGAGCAUCCUAUAAAACUGCUGGACAUUCAAUCUCUGCUACUCACUGACUGCACUAACUACAACUGCUCAAAGGCUUCCAGGACACAAUUUGCAAAAGAGCUGAGGAUUUGGUACUUUAAUUAAAGUCCAUGAAAAUUGUGAAUAUUCAUCAUCUCAGAAGAAUCAAAACACAAUUCUCCCAAGGUGAGCACCCAAAAUUAGUGGACUCAAAAAUGUCUUCCUGCAUCGGUGUUUCCAGUUCACAGCAGUUAGCUCAGGAUGAUGCUUCUCUACGUAACAGAAUUUUUAAAAAUGUAUACUGUGCAAAGUUUGGGUCGUGGUAGCUGAGAAUGCUUUUCAUUAGCUGCCAUCUAACUGUUGUGAUAUAUAAUAUGAUCUUAUACAAUUAAUACAUUCACAUAGCACAAUUAAUGUAAUUGUGCCAUUAUAUAUCUCACUUCCAAGAGUUUAAUUUCACAGGCUUGUUGCUACUGCCAUCACUAAAAAAGACAUUGAUCCUACAAAAAGGGAAGAGUACCAGAGAUAGAAUGCAACACUUACUUGCAAAAAAGAAAAAGAGUAAUCAAAAGCUAAAACAAAGUCACAAGAAAGCUAAACAGAAAGGAGUUAAAUCAGCAAAAUAGGAAAAGAAAGGUUAUUAGGUUGGCAUUAGAGAAAAUUAAAAUGGUGUUUAAAAAGUCCAGAAAGCCUUAACAAAAUUAAUUAAGAAAUAGAAAAUUAUUAAAGACAAAAGAAAAAGUUGUAAGUCCUGGAAAUGAAACGGAAAAGGGUUUGCUUUGAAAACAGGAAAAGGAUUUUUUUUAAUAGAGUUAUGAAUCAUUUGAAUGAUGGAGAGCUUCCUGAAACAAAUAUCUCUUUUUUUCCAGAAAACUACAUAUCUGUACAUACUUAUACUGUACACUCUAAACUGACCCUUUUUCAGUUGCAAUAAAAUACAAAUAUUGACAUACAAAUAUUGAUAUAUUUUUUGAGAAACUCCUUAACAUACCUAGUUUUUCUGUAAUACCUUUCACAUUAUUUUAAUUUUUCAGUGAAAUGCUGUGGAAGCAUGUAUAUCCUUGACUUUCAGUUCACCUAAGUGAUUUUUUCUACUUCGCCUAGGCAAUUCUACAAAUCCUGCCUUAAAUACCAUCAACUCCUUUUAAAAUUUGAAUUUGAAAUUUAAUUUUCAAAGAUGAACCAUGUUCCACUUUGACAGGAAAAAAGUUGUAUCAGCUCUGUUUAGCAGCAGGUACUAGAGGGUCUUAAAGUCUGGCAUGUAUUAAUAAAUAAAUUCACAGCAGCAAUUCGUAGUCAUACUUAAGAUUGAUACUACACAUUUUAAAUGAGACACUUAGGAUGCAGUUUAUCUGACCCAGUCUCAUGAAGCUUCAUUUAGAGUCAAUGGAGUCUAGGAUGCUAUUUAUCCCACCCUAAUGUAGAAAUCCAAAAUGAGGUAACUGAAUUGCCUGUUUCUCACCACUAAAUAUAAAAGGGGUCUAAAGUAAUUAGCUGACCUGUAGACAUCUACCGUGUAGAUGCGCAAUUAGCCUGUAAUAGAAUUUCCUAAUAAAAGAUCUGUUAUCAUAAUAUUGCUCACUACUGUC